rnacentral:lncRNA from 1 species
CACCACCACAAUCGUAGAGGCCAUACACAGAGCUAUUGGUGCCUAUGGUGGUGUGGUUAUAACCAAUACUUGUGGCUGCAUCAGAGGGUAUCCAUGUGAGGAUCCUAUCAAGGUUGGUUUGGUAUGCACUGCUGAGAGUUUGCUGGGUGGUGUUUUCACAGUUACUUCCCAGGUUUGCUGGUUGUUCAGCCUUUGUAAUAACGAAUGAUCUGAAAUUCAGCAGUAACCAGAAAGCAAAGCAUAUUGAUCUCAUGUUUCUUUGUAUUAUUCCUAUUAUGAACUACCUUCUUAAUCAUGUUAUUUUCUGCAAUGAUUUGAACAUAUAGCAAGUAAUGCAUUUCACAAAACCAUGCGUUUCAUGUGUUAUUCUUUCUUAAUUGUCAAUUUUGAUUACUUAAAAUACCAUUUAUUAUUCUUUAAUGAUAAAUAUCAAACAAGAUGAACAUCAAAUUUGAAAUUCGACAUGAACAAAAUGUCAACUUUCGUAGCCAAUAAUGGAGGGCAAGCCUUGGUAAAAAUAUGACUAGUUCAUAUCAGUUUGUGCCUGGCAGCCCUUCUGACAUCAUGUAGAUAUGCAAUUUUGCUUAGAGUUAAAAGUAUCAUUUUCACCUGAACGAUAACAGAGAAUAUCCAAAACAUUUUAAAAUAAUAUUGUUCCUAUACUUCUAAGAAAUUCUUCAUUUGGUUCUUAUCUCAAAGUUAUUAUUAAAUCGGUUCUACGCAUGAAAAAUGGUGUUUAUUUUAAAUUUGAUCCUUAUGCAUUUAGUAUUUAUUGUGUCUAUUUACAGAUAGAAUCAAGUUUAAUGAUCAAUUAAAAUUAAAAUAAUUUUAAGAUAUCUAUUUAUAAAAGAGAUCAAAUUUAGAGAACUGAAUAAAUUUUUUCUUGUUAUUUGAUUAUGUUUUAAUGAAACUAAAUUAUUUUAUCUUAAUUUUUAUGUCAAUGUUAUUUUAAGCUUAUAUAGCUUCUGUACCUGUGUGGAUGUCAGGACCAGAGUAAUGUUGAUCCACAUUGAUGCACAAUUUGUUGUUGUGCCUGCAACUCCCCGAUUCCUUAAGUUCCUUCUCCUUCGCGCUUGCACUAGUUCGGUCAGCGGGGUACCUGCGAUUGCACUCCGACGCUCAAGUCAGUAUUAGUAAUUAGUCUAGUUUCUCCGGAUAUUAAAAAUGUACAUUCUCCCCCUUUCAGAAGUUCCUUUUAUAGGUUGACUUGGGCUUUGAUACGUGUGGGCCAAGUAACCGGAAAGUGCGCUUCGACGUGUCUCUUGACCCAUUUAAAGUUAGUUGUAAGCGUUUUCUUGCCACGUAUUUAUUAUAUUAUAUUAUUUAAUGCAUAACCUCAGUCGUCCGGGACCGAUCGUUACCGGUUGCCUCUUUAAAUGAUCAAAUUUGGUUAUCUUAAAUAUUUUUUUAACUCUUUAGAUUCUUAUAUAAUUUGAUCCAAAAAGUUAUCUAGUAUAUAAAAUAAAAUAUAUAAAAGAAAUAGAAUUCUUGUAAUUGGUUUUGGUAUAUAAUUUACUUUUAUUCUCAUAACAAUUUGGUAGCAAUUUUGUUUUUAUGAAAACGGUAGGAAUACGAUACACGAUGCAGGAAUAUGACGGAAAUUAAAUUAUAGAGUCCCAUAAUACAUGUAUAAGUUGUUAUUACAAAAAAUAUUAAAUAAGAAAAAAAAAUGUGUUUUAUCAUCAUAAGUAAUUUCAAUAAUUUUUUGAUUGUGACUUUAGAUAUUGUAAUAUAUAAUUUCUUAUGGGAAAAGAUAGACUUUGCCAAGUAAGUUUCUUAUUUUGACUUUCAUUGAUACGAAACUUUCUUCUUUAAAACUUCAAAGAAAUUCUAUUAUAUGAAGAAGUCAAUUAUUAUAUGAAGAAGUCAAUGAUUAAGUAGAACCUAUAUUCUUCGUGUCCAUACUUACUGUAUAGAUGACUUUUGAUGUAAUACACGAUAAAAAAAAUAUUAAAUAAAAAAAUAAUUUAAUAAAUAAUAAUAACUAAUUAUUAUAUUUAUUAAAUUAGAUAUUAUUUUAAAUAUUAAAAAAAUAUUAAUAUUUAAAUUAAUUUUAUUUUUUAUAUAAUUUUUAAACUUUUAUUUAAUUAGCUAUCAGGAUUCUAAAUACAAUUUUAAAAUUUAAACAAUUGAAAAAUAAAUUUUGAUAGCUAAUUAGAUAUUAAUUUAAAAAUUAUUUAUUAAUAAUAUAAAUUAUUUUAGAUAUCGAUAAUCUAAUUGAGUUAAAUAAUAAGUAAUUAUUUUUUUCUGUUUCUAAAUCUAGUUUAUAUUUAAUGAUGUUCUAAUAGAACCAAUGGAGUAAAAAUACUUAUUAAUAAAUAAUGUUUGUUAAUAAUGUUAAUGUUCACCUUUAAAGUCUCCACUAAAAGUAAUCAUUAAAUAGAAACUAAUAGUAAUCAUUAAAUAGAAACUAAUAGUAGAGACAAAAAUAAUUAGUUACUAUUUAACUAAAUUAGAAAUCAUUUUAUGAACUAAAAGAAUUAUUGGUAUCUAAAGUAGUUUUUAUUAUUAAUAAAAAUUUAUAAAGUAGUUUUUAAAUUGGUAUCUACUACUAAGUUUUUAGCUACUAAUUACUUUAUAUUUUAAAUUAGUUUAUAUGAGUCUUUUAAAGAUUAAUAUAUAAUCUAAAAUAUUAGUAGCUAAAAUUUUGAUAACUAGUUUAUCAUUUUAUAAAUUUUUAUUAAUAAUAGAAACCAUUUUAGAUACAAAUAAUUUUAUACGCUCUAAAAUAAUAUCUAAUUUAAUCGAGAUAAUGAUUAAUUAUUUUUUGUCGAUAAAAAUUGAGUUGUUAUUAAUUAAAUUUUUUAGAUAAUUUUGAAGAUUAGAUGAGUUUGUAUAAUACAAAUUUGGAGUCUGAAUAUCAUGAGGAGUAUUGAAAUGAACACUCUCUACACAUAAGCUGCCAAAACUUAGGUAUCUUAUUUCUCUUAUAAAAACUAAUGGCAACAACAUAGAUUAAUUCAAGUUGAAUACAAUGUGUUGAAAGAAUCAUGAAAAUAACGAAGGAUAAGUAAUAUCCACAAUUGAAGCAAUUUGAUCAACAAUAUUCGAUAUUAUAGUAAAUCAUUUGGAUUCUAAAUAUAUUGUUUUUCUAAAGUUGUUUUGCUUUGUUGUAAUGAUAAUGGUAUCCAUAUUCUUCGCUGACAGCACGUUUGUGCAUGCCCAGAAGAAACUGACACAACUUAACACAUUAAUUAAUGGCUAUGACCUGUUUGUGAAAACACCUGGGAGAGAUAUGGUGAUGUUUAUGGAAUGUAUGAUAUGGGUUUUUUGCCCCUGAAAAUUGGGGGAUACGCAAGUCUUGAGAGCAUUAUUUGCUCGUGUGAGUCAAGUUUUGUAAAUAGUUUCUUAAUGGGUUAUUGUGGCAAAUUCUGUGUGUUUGAGGCUAUCUGUUCUUAUCAAACUUUUUUUAUCUUUUCAAUUUCUUAAUGUCUUCUGAUUAGAAAAGGGUUGUUGUGAUUAAUCUUGAGCUCACCGAAGGACGUGAUAACUUACUUUCAAAAGCUUGUCGACUAGACAUGAACUUUUUAUCUCAUAUUUGGCUACCAAUUCCCACUUGAACUUUUAUGGAAAUUUGCCUGUUUAUGAAAAAUUUCCCAGAUUUUGUUGCUUCUAGAAUGUACAUCAGCUUUGCUCUUUACUGGUUGUUGUGUUGCCAAUUGCCUUAACCAUGUAUAAAUCAGCUUCUAGAUUAACAGAGUGGAAUAGUGAUAGUGGAACUAUUUCUGUCAGUAAGAAAACUGAUGGCUCAGUCAGGCUCGAUUCCUUGUUGGAGAAACACAAUGUGCUGCUGCUUCUGGCUUUGGCAGAGACUUGCAGGGUUACUGGGGAUGGUUUUCUCACACAACCAUUUUAGGUAUUUUGGCUUUGUGAUGAUAAUUUUGUUUCAUGAACUUUGGUUGCAUGCAUUCAAAAAGCAUGAGUACAUUCAAUGCUAAUAUGAGUAGGUAAAUUAAUAAAUAAUUUGAUUUAAAUCAAUUAUAAAUACAACUUUAGCUGUCACUUUUGAAGAGAUAUAUACAAAUCCAUUCUGCAAUCAUGAAAUUACCUCGGUAAAGUAAUAGAGGAUGUUAUAUUAUUAAUGGAAAGAUUCUUGGAACUUCUUGAUGUAGAGACUUCCUCUGAGGUUCUUCCAAUUGAAAAUGCUGGGUGCUUGGGUUUUGGAAUGGCCACUGUGUCACUCGCCAGCAUUACAACAACAUCAGACAUGGUUGGUCUAUCUCUUGCAUCUUCUUGAACACACAACAAACCAAUCUGUAUGCACCUCUCUACUUCAUCUCCUAUGAAGGAUUUUUCCAGCACUGGAUCCAUCAAUUCCAAACAUUUUCCUUCAUACCAUAUUCUCCAAGCCUACACAAGUAUAUGUAAGUUUUUUAAUACUCUUAACCCUUAGUUAUCUUAGCAUUGCUGAAUAAUUUCUCAACCACACUAGAGUGAAGACUUACGUAUACAAGGAGAGUUUGACCAUCUGACAUGUAGAAUCCACCAUUCUUUCUCCCACAAAUGAUUUCUAGAACAAGAACUCCAAAGCUGAAAACAUCAGAUUUCACUGAAAAUAGUCCUUCCAUAGCGUAUUCUGGAGCCAUGUAUCCACUAAUGAAAAUCGAUUGAGUUUUGUUAUUAUCUCGUGUCAGGGAAUAUAUAGAAAAGAAUCUCAUUUUACUAUUAUUAAAUACUAAAAUAUGCAUUGAUAAAUCUUAUUGUUUUCAAAGAAUUUGCUGUAAGUAAAACUCACUAAGUUCCCAUUACUCGUUUUGUAUUUGCUUGGUUCUGUCCUCCUUCAAAUGCCCUUGCCAAUCCAAAAUCUGAUAUCUUGGGAUUCAUGUCAUGAUCUAAUAGAACGUUGCUGGCUUUGAGAUCUCUAUGAAUUACUCUGAGUUGAGAGUCCUCAUGCAGGUACAAAAUACCUCUUGCUAUUCCAUGGAUAAUGCUUAAUCUUAGUUUCCAAUCAAAGUGUUUUCUUUUCUCAACAUCUGACAACGCAAUAACAGCAUAGAGAUUUGAACAUCAAAACAGUUAGUGAAGCAAAAAUACACCAAAUGCUAUGAUUUAGCCAGAGGAUGGGGAAAAAAUACCAAUAUAACUGAAUUUAGUUUAAUGUAAAUAUGAAAGAAUGGAAAAUGUGGAUGAUUGUUUUAGGUAUUAUGAUUGUGUCCUGCUUUUAUUUUUAAAUUAUAACGGGACCAUUUACAUGCCAGGAAAACUGCAUUAAAGCCCCAUAGUUUCUUCACUUUAUUUUGUAAGCCAUACUAUUUUUGGUGUUGGUGAAUGCUGAAGAACAAAUUGCAGUGAAAGCAACACUUCUAUUCUACUAGAGUUAUGUGAAAACAUACCAAAUAGGUGAAAGUCGAGACUUUUAUUCGGCAAAUACUCAUAUACAAGUAUCUUUUCAUUUCCCUCUGAGCAACAUGCCAAAAGUCUUACAAGGUUGCGAUGCCUCAAUUUAGCUAUAAACAUUACUUCAUUGUCGAACUCCUCUGAGCCUUGACCAGAAAAUUUAGAGAGUCUUUUGACUGCAAUUUGUGUUCCAUCAGGUAGAGUUCCCUGGCAAAAGUUUGCAAUAAAUAAAAGUUGGUAAAAAUAAGAAAUCUAUAUUCAAAACUCCAAAUCAUUACUACCUUGUAAACAGGGCCAAAUCCACCUUCCCCUAAUUUAGAUGCUUCUGAAAAGUUAUAGGUACUCUGUAGAAUUGUGGCAAAUGGGAUUCUAGGUAGGUCUGUGUUCCACGUUUCCUCCCAUUGAAUUUUGUGAAAAGAGGGUAGAGGAAGCUCUUCUACAAAAGAAGUUUGUGAGUUCAUAUCUGAGCAAAAUAGUCUUAUUUGACUGGUAGAAAUUAGUUAUCAUGUAAAUCAAGGAAUGUGGGUUCAGAGGAAAUUACCUUCUCUAACUCCAUCCCUCGUUUUUUCUUCAUGAUUACCUUUUCUCACCCUCUUCCUGUACCAGAAGCAGUAUAGGCUGAAACAUAGUACAAUUAUUGCCCCGAUCACACUGAAGAUAAUGAUCAAUAUUCUUGACCUGUUAUUAACCCCUUGUUUAUCUGUGACAAUAUAAAAGAUCAAUGUUGAUAUAAGGUCGGUUAGAUGGUUAAAAUGGAAGGGAGAGGGAGAAAUAGGUGGUGUUUCGAAUCUCUUUAUUAACAAAACUAACAUUUUAACAACUAAUAUUUAACAAAAGUACUAUAAUAGGAUUCAGAUUCACCUGUUUGCGGAUUGGCGGCAGGAGCUGGAGUUGUGUCAUUGUUAAGAAGGUAGAACAUAUAAUCAUCAUACUUUAUCAAACAACUUCCAGACCAAACCAUCCAUGCUACUUUUUGUUCACAACAUUUGGGAACUUCAGCCAGUAUGUCCUCCAAACACUGUCUGCACACUUCAUUUGUGAGAUCUCUAGUGCACUGCACCACGCCAUACCUACUCUCAGUGGCACUCAAGUUGAACCCUUCCUUAUAGUACAACUGGUUGGUUUCAUUAGUUGCUUUUCUGAUCAAACUUCUCACAAAAUCCUGACCUUUCUGAAUCUCUGUCGUGUUGGAUAUGUUUUUUGUUCCAAAAGUAUGCCAUGUUGGGUCUGUCAAAGCUUUCCCAAAGAAGUCCUCAUUAGAGUACCUUAUAACACAGUAAUCAUUCCACACCACAGCAGACACCCUAUUGGAGCAAAGCUGAGGGGCUUCUCUUACAGCAGUGGAAAUACAAAAUUGACAAAAGUAUCCAACUGCAUCACCACCACAAUCAUAGAGGCCAUACACAGAGCUAUUGGUGCCUAUGGAGGUCUGGUUAUAACCAUUGCUGGUGGCUGCAUCAGAGGGCAUCCAUGUGAGGAUUCUAUCAAGGUUGGUUUGGUAUGCACUGCUGAGAGUCUGUUGGGUGGUGUUGUCGCAGUUACUUCCCAGGUAUGUGUCUGCUUUGGUCUUAGUACUGAAUGAUCUGAAACUCAGUAAUAACAAGAAACUAAAGCAUAUUGAUCUCACGUUUCCUUGUGUUCCUACCAUGAAGUAUACUUGCUUAAUUAUGUUAUUUGCCACAGUGAUUGAAACAUAUGGCAUGCAAUAACCCUGAGUGUCAUGUGUUACUCAUUCUCAAUAUUCUACUCUUUAACAAUACUUAUUAAAUAAGUUGAACUUCAAAUUUGAAAUUCAAACUGUAUGAAA